GCAUGCUCACUCUGGCCACACAUAUACUAAAAUUGGAACAAUGAAGAGAUUAGCAUGGCCCCUGUGCAAGGAUAGCACAAAUUCACAAAGCAUUUUAUAUUUGA